rnacentral:rRNA from 1 species
CAGUCGCCGCGGUAAUACGUAGGUGGCAAGCGUUGUCCGGAAUUAUUGGGCGUAAAGGGCUCGCAGGCGGUUUCUUAAGUCUGAUGUGAAAGCCCCCGGCUCAACCGGGGAGGGUCAUUGGAAACUGGGAAACUUGAGUGCAGAAGAGGAGAGUGGAACUCCACGUGUAGCGGUGAAAUGCGUAGAGAUGUGGAGGAACACCAGUGGCGAAGGCGACUCUCUGGUCUGUAACUGACGCUGAGGAGCGAAAGCGUGGGGAGCGAACAGGAUUAGAUACCCCCGUAGUCCCUGUCUCUUAUAC